rnacentral:lncRNA from 1 species
AUGUGCCACUCUGUUCUGGUCCAGCUGACAGACGCCUCCCCAUCUAUUUAUUACAGACAGACCUCUCCCCAUCUCUUUAUUACAGACCUCUCCCCAUCUCUUUAUUACAGACAGACCUCUCCCCAUCUAUUUAUUACAGACCUCUCCCCAUCUCUUUAUUACAGACAGACCUCUCCCCAUCUCUUUAUUACAGACAGACCUCUCCCCAUCUCUUUAUUACAGACAGACCUCUCCCCAUCUCUUUACUACAGACAGACCUCUCCCCAUCUAUUUAUUACAGACAGACCCCUCCCCAUCUAUUUAUUACAGACAGACCCCUCCCCAUCUCUUUAUUACAGACAGACCUCUCCCCAUCUCUUUAUUACAGACAGACCCCUCCCCAUCUCUUUAUUACAGACAGACCUCUCCCCAUCUCUUUAUUACAGACAGACCUCUCCCCAUCUCUUUAUUACAGCCAGACCUCUCCCCAUCUCUUUAUUACAGACAGACCUCUCCCCAUCUCUUUAUUACAGACAGACCCCUCCCCAUCUCUUUAUUACAGACAGACCUCUCCCCAUCUCUUUAUUACAGACAGACCCCUCCCCAUCUCUUUAUUACAGACAGACCUCUCCCCAUCUCUUUAUUACAGACAGACCCCUCCCCAUCUCUUUAUUACAGACAGACCUCUCCCCAUCUCUAUAUUACAGACAGACCUCUCCCCAUCUCUUUAUUACAGACAGACCUCUCCCCAUCUCUUUACUACAGACAGACCUCUCCCCAUCUCUUUAUUACAGCCAGACCUCUCCCCAUCUCUUUAUUACAGCCAGACCUCUCCCCAUCUCUUUAUUACAGACAGACCUCUCCCCAUCUCUUUAUUACAGACAGACCCCUCCCCAUCUCUUUAUUACAGACAGACCUCUCCCCAUCUCUAUUACAGACAGACCUCUCCCCAUCUCUUUACUACAGACAGACCUCUCCCCAUCUCUUUAUUACAGACAGACCUCUCCCCAUCUCUUUAUUACAGACAGACCUCUACCCAUCUCUUUACUACAGACAGACCUCUCCCCAUCUCUUUAUUACAGACAGACCUCUCCCCAUCUCUUUAUUACAGACAGACCUCUCCCCAUCUCUUUAUUACAGACAGACCUCUCCCCAUCUCUUUAUUACAGACAGACCUCUUUAUUACAGACAGACCUCUCCCUAUCUCUUUAUUACAGACAGACCUCUCCCCAUCUCUUUAUUACAGACAGACCUCUACCCAUCUCUUUAUUACAGACCUCUCCCCAUCUCUUUAUUACAGACAGACCUCUCCCCAUCUCUUUAUUACAGACAGACCUCUCCCCAUCUCUUUACUACAGACAGACCUCUCCCCAUCUCUUUACUACAGACAGACCUCUACCCAUCUCUUUAUUACAGACAGACCUCCCCCCAUCUUUACAACCAUUGAGUCUAUAUGUUUUGACCAGGACAGUUUACAAUCUAAGGUAA